rnacentral:rRNA from 1 species
UGGGGAAUUUUGGACAAUGGGCGAAAGCCUGAUCCAGCAAUGCCGCGUGUGUGAAGAAGGCCUUCGGGUUGUAAAGCACUUUUGUCCGGAAAGAAAUCCUUGGCUCUAAUACAGUCGGGGGAUGACGGUACCGGAAGAAUAAGCACCGGCUAACUACGUGCCAGCAGCCGCGGUAAUACGUAGGGUGCAAGCGUUAAUCGGAAUUACUGGGCGUAAAGCGUGCGCAGGCGGUUUGCUAAGACCGAUGUGAAAUCCCCGGGCUCAACCUGGGAACUGCAUUGGUGACUGGCAGGCUAGAGUAUGGCAGAGGGGGGUAGAAUUCCACGUGUAGCAGUGAAAUGCGUAGAGAUGUGGAGGAAUACCGAUGGCGAAGGCAGCCCCCUGGGCCAAUACUGACGCUCAUGCACGAAAGCGUGGGGAGCAAAACAGGAUUAGAUACCCUGGUAGUCCACGCCCUAAACGAUGUCAACUAGUUGUGGGGAUUCAUUUCCUUAGUAACGUAGCUAACGCGUGAAGUUGACCGCCUGGGGAGUACGGUCGCAAGAUUAAAACUCAAAGGAAUUGACGGGGUCAUAGCUGUUUCCU